CAGACGCGUGUGGUUUCUCUUGGCACGUCGCCCUUUGAGACAGCCCAGCCCGUGAAGCUGGAAUUGGAGUCGCCGCCGUGCUGAGCAAAGUCAUUAGUUCCCGCGACGUCGCCAAGUGCGCCUCCGGUCCAGCCGUCUCGUCUUUAGAGAUCUUCGGUUCUGAGGCUUCGUCUCGCGUUGCUGUGUCAUCCAACUCCUCUUCCAUUGUCCAUGGCGAAGAGGCUGCCGCGAAAUCACGCGCACUUCACACCCGUAAUCCACGUAUCCAUCAGAGCGGAAGACGAGGAGUGCGAAAGGUUACUGCCCACUUCUAGGAAAUGAAGACUAGGUGAGUGUGCGUGUGUGGGGAGGUGGGCGGGGGAGGGGGUACUUUAUGUGUGCCUUACGUUCGGCGUGCGCAGGUGUUGCCGUGCCCGCGUAGGUGUGGCGUUGCCUCGGACUAGUGUGUAAUGGGCACCUUCCUUCCCCUCGCGGCCCUCCAGCUAUCGCCCCUCGGCCUGCUUCCCCUUCGCUUCAUCGGGUUAAAAGAAACUUCGCGCCAGAGACAUAACGCGUUCGGGUCUCGGAGGCCGCGGUUAAUCACGUUUCUUCUGUGCGAUCCUAAGAAAUUGAACUUCACGCUGCAUUAGAGCAGUUUAUAUCGUUUAACCAAUUCGCUACUCCUCGUUUCUCCCCAUCUGACCAUUGACGUCACACCACACCUGUGGCAGCGAAGCGUUCACUAAAACGCUCAUCAAUUUGAUGACGUCACGGUAAACAUCCAAUCGCGUCGAUCGGAGCAUAUGACGCCGUGAAUUUGAUGACGUGGCCGGGCUGGUCCUCGGUGGGAAAAAUCCAUGCACAUGUUCAUGACGUGGCGAUGACGUCAAGGUUGGGAGCGAGGAUAAACAAGCGUCAAGGCCAGGCGCCGAAGCCCGAGCCACAGUAAGGCGAUAAGGGCCAUAUUUCAGGGCCAAGAGCAUUUCGCUUCGAACUUCCCGACGCAAGGCCCUUAUCGCCGACUCCUUGCUGAUAACGCCAUUUCCUUUAUUUUUGUUUUGAUUUGUCAGCGUACUACGAGAAGAUAAACAUUGAAGUGUUUCCUAAUGUUCAUAAAAAAGGGGAAUAUACACACCAAUACGGCAAGGAAAAUACCAUUGGGAAAGAGAAGGAGAAAGGUGGGGCAGAGGAGGGGUUUUCCUUCCGCAAAGAAGUCCUCAAAGGAAGUCUAAAUAUCAUACGUCACUUGCAUAAGUCUCCGAAGAAAAAAUCCCAAACCACGAGGCAAAACGAAGAUAGUGGAAUAACAAGACACGAAACGCGAAAGAAGAAAGAGAAAACAAGAUUUGGAAUAGCGUAGAAGAAAAUAUUGAUAAAGGAGACGGAGAAGCAACGAGAAAGACUCAGGAGAUCAAGGAAUAAACAGACUGCAAGAAUAAGGCGAGGCCAAACAAGGGUAGACUCAAGACAUCAAAGAAUACAGACUGGUGGAUAAGGGUAGAGAAAGCGAGGAUAAACGCAAGACAUCUUAGGAUAGAUGGAAAGCUCGGAUAAGGCGAGGCAGUGAAGCUCCGGGUCGACUGUGGAAGGCUGACCUCAUGAUUAAUGCACUCGCGUUUGUGUGACCUUUUGAGAUGAAAAAUUACGACAUCUCCCUUAAGUUUAUCCCUGCGUGGUGUGCGUGAGAGCCUUCAUAAACCCUGAUAUACAAACAAAUAAAAAGUUACAUCAGUUCUGGU